GCAUUAAUGGGGUAGUGGUAACCUCGAUCGUUGCCAUCUGGUCAUUCACGAAAUUUCGAUCGGCCCCCGGUUCAAUUCCGGGUUAAUGCA